CUGCAGCUCAAGUGGUCAGGAUGAUUAUUGGGCCUAAAGCAUCCGUAGCCGGCUCUGUAAGUUUUCGGUUAAAUCUGUACGCUCAACGUACAGGCUGCCGGGAAUACUGCAGAGCUAGGGAGUGGGAGAGGUAGACGGUACUCGGUAGGAAGGGGUAAAAUCCUUUGAUCUAUUGAUGACCACCUGUGGCGAAGGCGGUCUACCAGAACACGUCCGACGGUGAGGGAUGAAAGCUGGGGGAGCAAACCGGAUUAGAUACCCGAGUAGUCC
rnacentral:rRNA from 1 species